GCUUGCAGAGAGUAACAGACUGGACAAAGUGAUCAGGAGGCCUGGUUCUGUUCUGGGGGUGGAGCUGGACCCCCUACAUGCUGUAGCUGAGAGGAGGAUGCUGGUCCAACUCCUCUCUAUAGACAACACCUCCACCCCCUACACAGUGUGUGGCUGGACAGAGGAGCACCUUCAGCCACAGCUGAUCAGUGUUAGGUUCUCCACAGAACGCCACCGGAGAACCUUCCUAUUUGAAUCUUGAAUCUUAAACAGCUAUUUGCUGUCUGAAUCUGGAGCAAGUGGAACAAAGAGAAGUGAAAACACAUACAUGAAAGGAGACAGAUUCAGGGAGGAGCUGAGCUGUGACUGAAUGUAGAAGAGAGACAAAUGUCUACAUUCAACACGGUUUGAUACACAGUCAGAGAUCAUCAUUCAUCACGCUGGAGCACGCUCUGGAGCAAAGACAACACAAUGCUCCACAGCAUCCACCAGAGGGACACGUCAUCCAGUAGGAGCUGCACGACCUCUGCACUGUUCAACCACUGUGUCAGUCAUAACUGCUGCACUGAACAGAACAAUUCUCAGACUGAAUGUUGAACAUCAGCCUCUUUCUCCUCUUGACUUCAACCUUGUUGUAGAGAUGGAUCAUUGGCUGUGGAUUAUUCUGGCUGCUCUUUGCUACGAGUGUAAAGGAGAAGACAGAGUGAUCCAGACAACAGGAGACGUCACUGCUACUGAAGGAGACGCUCUUACGCUCAACUGUACAUUUGAGACAAGUGACACAAUGCCAUAUUUGUUCUGGUACAAACAAGAUGUACAUGAUUCUCCAAAGUACAUGUUGAGGUGUCUCUCAAAAUCAGUGGAAAACGCCCCAGAGUUUCCAAAAGAAAGAUUUGAUGCUGCAAUUGAAGGGACAUCAGUUCCUCUGAAGAUCCAGAAGCUUCAAGUGUCUGACUCUGCUGUGUACUACUGUGCUCUGAGGCCCACAGUGACAGGAAACACCUCAACUCUGUACAAAAACCUCUGGAGCAAAGACAACACAAUGCUCCACAGCAUCCACCAGAGGGAGACACGGUGA